UACGGAGGGUGCGAGCGUUGUCCGGAAUCAUUGGGCGUAAAGGGCGCGUAGGUGGCGCGGUAAGCGUGCGGUGAAAGCCUGGGGCUCAACCCCGGGUCGGCCGUGCGAACUGCUGGGCUUGAGCACUGUAGAGGCAGGCGGAAUUCCGGGUGUAGCGGUGGAAUGCGUAGAGAUCCGGAAGAACACCGGUGGCGAAGGCGGCCUGCUGGGCCAGUUGCUGGACACUGAGGCGCGACAGCGUGGGGAGCAAACAGG
rnacentral:rRNA from 1 species